rnacentral:rRNA from 2 species
GACCUCGGAUCAGGUAGGGAUACCCGCUGAACUUAAGCAUAUCAAUAAGCGGAGGAAAAGAAACCAACC